AUUUAUUGUCACUAACGAAAUUGUUUUUUACAUCUAAUUUUUUAUUUAGUCUACAUUUACUAGCAAAUUCAAUAUUGUAAAUUAAAACAAAAUUUUAUAAAAACUGACCUAAAUUGUGGACACCAAUAUCAAUCCUCGCAUUUUACCGUUAAAUUGAAAAAUUUUAAAAGCUUGUGACCAAAUAUUAAGGAAGACAAUGGGCAGUGGAAGGAUGACUUACGAGUGGAUAAGAGGAAACUUAAUUGUUACACAUUCAUAGCAUAAAAGGGAAUGGACAAUAAUCGACCUAGAAACUUUUGUCAUAACUUCAGCAGCAAGAAGAAACAGAAGUAUUAUAUGUACAUGUUUAACACUAGCGUCAUUUACAAAACUCAACGAAGCACAACAUUCUAACAUUGCGGCAACAUGAGCAACAGAAUGCAACCAACUUCUGGUCUAACCUAAUCAUGGCUGUAUAUUUUAAUUAAACUUACAAGAAAUAAACAAUUUCAAAACCAAA